rnacentral:rRNA from 1 species
GUGAACCUGCGGAGGAUCAUUN